CUGAAGAUAAGGAUUAAAGUUCAUUUGAAGUUGUGUGUGCGCUCGCACGCUCACAAGAGCAUCCCGUAGGACCUCUCUCUUCUCUGAGUGCCUUCUGUUUGCUACCUUUUCCUUUCAUGUUAGAGCUUUCUCUCAAAUAUCUGGCAAUCUUGGUUGUCCAUUGAUAUCUGAUGCCCUGGGAAUUUGCAGGAAGCUGACAGGGAACUUCUGCCAGCAGACCCUGCUAUUGGGCUCCCUGGGCUUGUGUCUCAGUGUUCUGGUGGGCGGCUCCUGAUCAGCUUUCCCUGAUGCCUGUGAUCCAGUGUCCAGUCUCUUCAAGAGCCCAGAAACCAGUCAGGAGUUGUUCCUCCCUGGGAAGAGCCUGUGGGCGCCCGCGGUCCACUGUGGGAUGGUUCUCCACUCAAGUUCCAGACACCUGAGCAAGGACUUCCAGGUGGCACGGUGGGGUCACUGGCCUCCAGAGAAAUGACUGUGAAUGUGCAGAUGGACGAUGGCCGACCACAUGGGAAAAGAGCCCAAGCCUGCAACUGGCAGCUACCAAGUCCAGGACACCAACCCCCAUCUACACUAGCCUGCCAGAGGCCAGCCACAGUGAGACUGCUCCCUCCCUGACCAUCUGCAAAAGACAACUGUGGUGAUCAGCCCCAGAUGCCAGGACUUGGUUGAUAACUGACACUGGGCUAGUUUUUGUCUCUGCUUUUAACUUAAGACUUCCCAGCGAAAGCCAGGUGUAUAGUGGGAUAUCUGCUUUGAGUCAGGCUCCCCCAGCUCCCUGGAGCAGCUCCCUCCAUCAGGACAUGCCGGAGCCUUCCUUCCCUGUGUCCACUGAAAACCAUUCUCCUUCCCUGCCUGCCUUUGAAUCUCCGCAAACACAAGCCACAGUGGCUGGUUCCCUGUUGGAGCAAGCUUGGGUAAGUAGCCCGAGCAUGUUCUCGGUCGGUUGGUCCUUGUGUAUAUUUCAGAGGGUAACUAGAAGCAGACUGGAGGGAAAUGACGGAGCUGUGGUUGGAAGAAGUUGCACAGCGGGUCAAAAGUUCCCAGGGGCGGGGGGGGGGGGGGGAGGGUGGGGCUUUGGGAAGCCCACAGAAGUGCGACUGUGGAUCCUUUCUUGGGCCGAGUCUUAGUCCAUUUUCUGUUGCUAUUAAAAAAAUACCUGAGGCUGGGUAAUUUAAAAAGAGACUUUAUUUAGGUCACCAUUCUGCAGGUCCCAGAGCACUGGGUGGCUUCUGCUCAACUCUGCUGAGGUCAGUGGCGGAGGGGGAGCGGGAGAUCACGUGGUGAGGCAGGAAGCCAGCGAGGGGCCGGUGCUGCUCUUCUGAACUGCCCGUCCUGGUGGGAACUAACCUGCUCUGUGAGACCAGGAUUCAUUCCUUCCCAGGGCAGAGCUGCCACUUCCAUCUCGUCUCACACAGCCACAUGGAGCCAUGAAUCUCUGGGGGACACACUCAAGCCAUCUCCAACCGGUCAGAAGGGGCAGCUCCAGAGCCACCCCUUGCUGUCCCCAGUGGCCCAGGAACAGCACCAGUCAUGCCCACAGCUCAGGGCACCCCAGGCCUGCUCCUCCCUCCAGGCUGCUGCCCAACGCCCAUGUCAAGAAGAGAGCUGGGACCCUCAGCUUCUUCUCCGCUGCCCCCUCUGCCUGUGCCUUCCUGGGCCCUCCCCCUCCAGAUCAGAUUCUGUCGCGUCUUGAGGGGACUACACCAGAGUCACAGCUCUCUCUCUCAUCUCCUUCUCUGAUCAACUCUGAAAGCAGAUGGGUUGACUGGAUCCCCUCGGCCUGAGCCCAGAGCAGCGCAUCGAGGGUCUGGUCACGUUGCAGUAGCAAACAGCUUCAGAAGGCAGCAAUGUACAAGGUCAGGGGCAUUUCUCAGUCAUACCGCAUGUCCAUUACACAUUAGCAGGGGCCCUCUCCAUGUCAUCUUCACUGGGGACCCAGGCUGGCAAAGUCACCACCAUCUGAGACGUCUCCAGUCUCACGGUGCGGGGUGGGUCAGAGCCGGGUUUCCUCGCACACAGUGCCCGGCUUGAUAAGUGGCUGAAAGUCUCACUAAAUGGUUGAGUCUAGCCUCAGACUUGCCAUUCUUCGGCCUCAGCCUCUCCAGUCGCUGGAAUUGCAGGCUGCGCCUCAGCCCCUGGCAAGGGUGGGUGCACUUUUACACUUUUAACCUUUGACCUGCACAUCCUGAAUCCAAAGGCCUCGGUCCACUGCAGCCACUGCCCAGUUUCCCAGCCCCUGGGCGCUGCCCGGCGCUGCCCUCAGCUGCUCUGUGUCCCAGGCUCCCGGAGCUGUCCAGGCACCUGCCCUGAUGCUGAAGCUAGCAUGUUUUGACACCUUGAAUGGCCCCAGAGCUCAGCCUCUGGACGUGGAAUCUGCCUCAGGGCCCGUCACAGGGCACCAAGGCAGAAGACGGCAGCCAGGACACAAAUGCCUCCCCUCCACCCUACAGUGACAUUUCCUCGAAAGGCUCAACUCAUUAGGAUAAGUUUUCUUGGAAAUGGAGGGAAGGCGGUUGGAGUCCCUAAGGACUCCUGUAUGUGGGGUGUCCCCCGGGUUAAUGGCAAGCUCUGGUCUUGGCCAAGAGCCUACCACGGCAUUGCUCCUCUGGCUGUUCUUGGGAGUGCUAUCCGGCUGGUCCCUCCUGCCCUUCCCUGCACCUACCCCAGGCCUCUGCUUCGCCUGGCUCCUCUGCCCCUAUGGACGCCCCUUCCCCAGUUACCAAGCUGGGUUCAUCUUUUUUUUUUAAAUAUUUAUUUUUUAGUUGUAGUUGGACACAACACCUUUAUUUCACUUGUUUAUUUUUGUGUGGUGCUGAGGAUGGAACCCAGUGCCUCACACGUGCUAGGCGAGCCACAACCCCAGCCCGUGGGUUCAUCUUUUUGCUCCAGUCCUUCCUUCCACAAACUGGACAUGAGACGAGGUGGGAGACCCACUGGACUGUCCACUGUGAUGGUUAAUUUCAUGUGUCAGCUUGGCUGUGCAACGGGAUGCCCAGAUAGCUGAUUAAAUGUGACUUUUGGGUGUGUCUGCGAGGGUGAUUUUGGAGGAGACUGGCAUCUGAAUGGGUGGGCUGAAGCACAGCAGCAGCAGCCCUCUCCAAAGUGGGCACGCAUUGUCCGACCCCCUGAGAGUCUGGGGAGAGCGCUCUGGCUCUAGGGCUUUGGUCUCCAGCUUGCAGAUGGCCCAUCGUGGAACUUCUUGGCCUCCAUGAUCCCAUGAGCGUACCUUAUAAUAGACUUCUUCAUAUGCACGUGUGUGUAUACAGAAGGCAUUAAGAACAUGCUGCUCCAGAAUAUGCCACUCUGGUGUACUGACUAUAUUGAGUUAGACACUCAAAAGACAACAGGUACUGGAUCAUUCGGACCGUCCUUCCUUGACUUAAAAGCAGGAGGUGAAAUUCCCACGUGAACGCUGCCCUCCCUCUACAGAGGGAAAACCUCAUUCCCACCAGCAAGGAUGCAAGGGAGAUCCCCCGACAAUCCUCAUUAAACCCACCCCCCUCUCCCUAGCCUCUUCUCCAUCCAGUUACCCACCUCCCAAGCCGCUCAGCCUCCUCCAUUUUCACAAUUAGCUACUCUUUGUCCAGCUCACACUCACACUCCCACGCUAACCAUGUCUUUGGUCUUCUCAUCCCACGAAGCCUCCUGCGCCUUGGAAAGUUUGGAUGAAGUCAAUUUAACGCUCUCGGGCUGGUCUGGCUCCUGUUGAUUGAGUUCUCAGGCCUAGCCAAAGGAGAGGGGGAACAAGAUAGAGGUAAAUUCCGGGGUCCCCUAGUUUCUAACAAGGAGAAGGGGUUCCCUGGCUGGGACCCGGCUUGCUCCAGGCUGCUGAAGCCGAGACUCCUGACAGAAGCCAGCAGGAGGGGAGGAUGCUCAGCCCGGCCUGCUCCCAGACCUCUGGCGCCAGGUCCAGCUGAAGCCUAGCAAGAGUCUCUCCUUGUCUCCUUCCCUUCCAAAAUUCAGGAGAAAACCUCUGGGUGAGCCAGGUCUUUGGGGAGAGCCCCCGCCGGAGUCUGUCAGGUCUGUUCUUGUUUCUGUUGCCCCUUUUCCUCCCAGAGAUGGUCACUGCUUUCUCCAGUCUCUGUCCUUCCCGUCACUGGGAGUGAGGAGGAGGAGGACAGCUGGAACCCAGAUGUGGGUCCUGUGCCUGUUACCUGAGCCACCCUCGUGGCCAGGCAGGUCACGUCCCCUGUCAGGCCGGCCUCCGUGCAGACUUUCUGCCACUCCCGCGAAAACUCUUCACCCGUCUUAUUUUACAUCUUAUUUUACACCGAGGGCUUGGCUUUGUGACAGUAAGAAUCUCCCGUCUGGCCUCUGCCAGGCAGGGGGACACAAGUCUUGGCUGGUGUGGGGCUGCCAGCAGAACACACAGGGAACAAAGGUCUGAGAGACACACAGCUCUUUCUUUGUUUGACUCCCUGGGAGUUUGUCCUGAUAAGAGGCCCCAGGGAGGGCUUCCUCAUCUCCACCCUCACUGUCCCAUGUGGUCCACCUGGUGCCUCCGCGGGAGACCCACUGUUUCACAAGCACUUUUAUCACCACCUGUGACAACCAAGGACUUUGCUUUCUUGCACAGCCGUUGGGAGUGGAGUCUGGGAUCAUGGAGGCUGGAUCUCGUGCAUCUGCUCUCUGGAUACUUCUUGUGGCCAUGCUACAGAUUCUUUCUAAGCCUGGAAAGUUCCCUCCUGGUGUUUCUUUGAAAAGGCUUCUUGUGAUGGGCAGCAUCACCCCUGGAAUAAAAGUCUCGAAGCUCCCGCUCGGCAGUGGCCUCAGCGGACCCUUUGAAUGGGAAGGGCUUCUAUAUUGGGGGGAAACAAUUAGUGCUGACAAUGCAGCUCAUGGGCAGAACACUUGCCUGGAGUGUGCAAGGCCCUGGGUUCCAUCCCCAGCAAGAAACACUCACUGGCAAGGGGUGUUCUUCCACCCAUGAUUACCCUGUAGUUAUCCGACUGGCCAGAUGAUCUUGGGGGUAAAUAUCCCUAGAGAGGGAACAGAUGACCAAAAAAUUUCUUAGGGCCUCUGUCUUUGUUUUGCUAUAACAAAAUACCUGAGGCAAGCUAACCUUAUAAAAUAAAGAGAUUUAUUUAGCUCACAGUGUGAGGUUCAAAGUUCAAAUGCAUGAUGCAGGAUGGGAUGAGGGUCCCAGGGCAGAUGACAGGAACAUGUGAGAAAGGAAGGGAUCACUUUUCAAAACAGGAAGCCAGAUAGAGAGUGGAGGCUUUCAAGAGGGCUUGACUUGGGCUGGGGAUGUGGCUCAAGUGAGCGGUAGCGCCGCUCGCCUGGCAUGCGUGCUGCGGUUAGAUCCUCAACACCACAUAAACAAAGAUGUUGAAACAAAGAUGUUGUGUUCCCCGAAAGCUAAAAAAAAAAAAAAGAGGGCUUGACUUGGAGGCCAGCUGCCAGUUUGGACUUCCCACUAAGCCCCACCUCUUAAAGGGCCCACCCCCACCUAGGAAAGAAAGCUUAAAGCCUCUGCCUGCCAAAAAGCCAGAACUACCCUGUGGACUCUGAGAGGUUUGAAAGACCCUCCUCCCCUUCUCCAUGGAACCCAUAGAUGAGCAACUUUAAGUUAAAACCCACCCCUUGUGGCCAGUAAAAUUCUAAAUUGUUUUUUGUAAGAUUCACCCUCUUUCCUAGAGAAGCAUAGGUUCUGAGACAGAGUCUUAGGACUCCCUCGAUUUAAAUAAAACCAUCAUUUUCUGUCUUCCUGGAAACUCACCCACCAGGUAGCUCUACAAGGCCCAGUUAAGUUUCUCUCCAACCUGAUCAGGCACCCACUCCUCCCUCAGCUCCUACCACAGGACAAGCCCAAUUUCUUUCUUUUUUUGUGGUGCUGGGGAUUAGAACCCAGGGCCUUGUGCAUAUGAGAGGAAAGCACUUUACCAACUGAGCCAUGUCCCCAGCCCUAACCCAGCCCAAUUUCUAUAACUUCAGUCCAAGAUCAAAAAUGCUCGGGGGCUGGGGAUACAGCUCAGUUGGUAGAGUGCUUGCCUCGCAUGCACAAGGCCCUGGGUUCAACCCCACAUCACACACACACACACACACACACACACACACACACACACACGGUGCUAAGAUGCAGUAGGUGACAACCUGCAAAUGUGCGGGGGGGGGGGGGGUGGGGGCUGGGGAUCUAAGCUGAAGCUCAGGGCUCCUGGCGCCCUCGCCCUCGUCAUGGGUCGGGGUGGGUGGGUGGCUCUUCCGGACUCACUUCUGACAGAUCAGAUCAGUGAAUGGUGGACUUAGGCACCUCUAGGUUUUGAAGAGCUGGAGCAGUCAGUGAUUCCUCACUGGGGUCAGCACCAGGUCACAGUGACCUGCGCUCCUCUGGGAGGGUCACCAGGGAAACUUACAGAGUAUUCUCAGGAGCCAGGCAAAGAAAGCGAUGGGAUUGCCGAGUGAGAAGCCGCUUCUCGUUGGUGCAGUUUCCAGGUUCCUCUUACUGUUCACAGGAGGCUUCGUAGGAAUUUAUUAUACAGGUAAAGAAAGGGCCAGAGGCCCCCCCCCCCCAUGUUUUUAAACAAGGCCCCAGGCUGUCAGCUCUCUUGCCAGUUCACAAGACCCAUCCCGGCUCUUCCCGAUGACAGGCCACCUAUGACGAGCCCCACUAACCAGCCUCAUCACCUGGGUCCCCAUAACACUUAACAUCCUGCUCCCCUGCCACCCUCUGAGAGCCUGGCAGCUGGGGACAUGGUACCCCGGUCACGGAGGCCUGUUGGAUACCUGUCCUGACUUCCUUCUGGGUUGUAUCAGCUCCUGAAGGUGAAAUUUCCAGGGAAACCUAACAACUGGCUGGGCCAUACUUUUGCCCCAUGAAACAUUGCAGGCAUAAUCCACCAGCUACAAAGCCAUCAAACUGGAAGAAGGAAACACUGCCCCACUGACACGGCUCCAGAUGUGUUUUGGUCUGCCACGGUGUUGACACAACCUGGGAAUCCCGUGGUCCUCCUAUUGCCAGUGGGCACACAAUUGCUGCCCUAUUACAAACUGCUAUAGUCUGAACGUGUUCCCCCAAAUCCACCCGAUGGGAGGCAUUUCAGUCGGUCACAGGGAGCACUGCCCUCUGACGAGCUCAGCAGUCUCUCAGAGUGAACUCCUCCCUGAGAGACUGGCUCUGAGUUAGUCAGCUUCCCAUCACUAUAACCAAAUACCUGACAUAAUUAACUUAAAAAGAAAGUAGGUAUAUUUUGGCUCAUGGAUUUAGAGGUCCCAGUUCAUGAUCAGGAGGACCUGUUGCUUUAGGGCCUAAGGCAACGCAGCACAUCAAAACAAGCGUACAGAGCAGAGCAAAAGCAUUUACAUCACGAGACAGGAAGCAACGAAAGAGGAAGGGGCCAGAAUCCACAGUCCCCUUCAAGAGCAUACCUCCGAUGACCUGAGGGGCUCUCAUAUAGCCCCAUGCUGCGCCUGCUUGGAUUACUCUGGGCAAAGUGUCUAAUCUGCACAUUUUAGAGGGCAAGAUAUUCUCUCUCCAUCAGAUGAAUGAAGCCCGACAUUUGGUGGAUGGAUCUGUCCUGUGGGACGGAGGCCGGUCAGCCAUUGGGGGAAACGCUCUCCCUUUGACCUCUGGUGUUGAUUCUCACCUGUUCUUUUCUCCUUCUGCAACUGCUCAGCCACUAGCCUGAUCCUCCUCUCUGUGGCCACCAACUCGGCCUUUGUAAGCCUAGGGCAGUCGAGGAUGUGGGAAAAGGAGUUCCGGGUGUGCCACCCCAACAGAUGCCCCUCUGGCAUCCUGAGUAUUUGGAAUUAGACUUGAAAUACAGCAGGUGUGUGACUCUGUGACCUUCCUUUGCUUAAAAGCAAGGGACGAAAUGCCCUUGUGAAUAAUGCUGCUAUGGCUUGAAUGCUGCUGGUCCUCAUCAAAACUCCUGUUCAAACAAGCUCCAACGUAACGGUAUUGAGAGACGCAGGGGCCUUUAAGAGGUAUUGGGUCAUGGGGGUGGAACCAUCAUGGAUUUUUUUUUUCUUGCAGGGAUGGGUCACUCCAGGACCACUUCCCACUCUGCAGGAAGCUGGCCACGAUGCUGGUGCCAUGCUCUUGGAAUUUCAGGAUUAUGAACCCGAACAAACCUCUUUCCUUUAUAAGUUAGUCUCAGGUGUUCUGUUGUAGCAACAGAAACGGACAGAGGACAGUGCCAUUCUCAUCAAGGACAGAAUACGGAGGCCAAGGAAAAUCUGUACAAACCAACCUUAUUAAACUAACCCUAUCUUCAUGGACACUUUACUCAAUUAACUGCCCUAGCCCAAGCCACUGGGCCAUCACAUUUUCUGCUAUUUGUCUCAGUAUACAGGUGUUCAACACUAGCUGUGUUUCGGGGUUCCCGAACGCUUUCCUCCUAUUGAUCUCUCAGGGUAAUUCUCAGUGCCAGCCAAAGGUCAGAGGAAAAAAUUCUGCCUCCCUACAGCAGCUUACUAGCUCUACUCCUCUGGAGAAGCUGGACUGGGACACUAGUGUGGCUUGUUGCCCAGGAUGCACCAAAGUCCCAAGUCCCCAGGAAGUGAGGCGAGCCCCCCACAGGAGGGAGGCCCCCACCAGCCCAGCCGAGGGGGACAACACCCACAGCUGUCGAGUCCCUUCAGCUCUCAUGUCCUGGAGGGUCACUCUAGCAUGCACCUGCGGGACUAGAAAUCACAUCCAUGAACUUCCCCCUCACUAGACCGUGGCGUCCUCUGGACGAUGGCUGUGAGUACUCGCCCCUGUUUACUUUCAUUUCC
rnacentral:lncRNA from 1 species